UUGGAGGGCAAGUCUGGUGCCAGCAGCCGCGGUAAUUCCAGCUCCAAUAGCGUAUAUUAAAGUUGUUGCAGUUAAAAAGCUCGUAGUUGAAUUUCGGGAUUGACGUGAUGGUCAUGCCUUAAGGGGUAUGAACUGUCACUGCUGAUUUCUCACCUUCUGGAGAAACUUGAUGUCCUUUAUUGGGUGUCUUGCGGAUCCAGGACCUUUACCUUGAAAAAAUUAGAGUGUUUAAAGCAGGCAUUUUUGCUCGAAUACAUUGGCAUGGAAUAAUAGAAUAGGACGGCAUGGUUCUAUUUUGUUGGUUUCUAGGAUCACCGUAAUGAUUAAUAGGGAUAGUUGGGGGCAUUAGUAUUCAAUUGUCAGAGGUGAAAUUCUUGGAUUUAUUGAAGACUAACUACUGCGAAAGCAUUUGCCAAGGAUGUUUUCAUUAAUCAAGAACGAAAGUUAGGGGAUCGAGGACGAUCAGAUACCGUCGUAGUCUUAACCAUGAACUAUGCCGACUAGGAAUCAGACGAUGUUAAUUUUUUAAUGACUCGUUUGGCACCUUACGGGAAACCAAAGUGUUUGGGUUC
rnacentral:rRNA from 1 species